GUGAGGAAUAUUGCGCAAUGGAGGCAACUCUGACGCAGCCAUGCCGCGUGCAGGAAGAAGGCGCUACGCGUUGUAAACUGCUUUUAACCGGGAAGAAACCCCAGGACGUGUCCUGGGUUGACGGUACCGGAGGAAUAAGCACCGGCUAACUUCGUGCCAGCAGCCGCGGUAAUACGAAGGGUGCAAGCGUUAUCCGGAUUCAUUGGGUUUAAAGGGUGCGCAGGCGGAGCGUUAAGUCAGUGGUGAAAUCCUGCAGCUUAACUGUAGACUUGCCAUUGAUACUGGCGCUCUUGAGUGCGCUUGAAGUGGGCGGAAUGUGCCGUGUAGCGGUGAAAUGCUUAGAUAUGGCACAGAACACCAAUUGCGAAGGCAGCUCACUAAGGCGAUACUGACGCUGAGGCACGAAAGCGUGGGGAUCGAACAGGAUUAGAAACCCGGGUAGUCC
rnacentral:rRNA from 1 species